rnacentral:rRNA from 1 species
CGUCAAGUCAUCAUGCCCCUUAUGCCCAGGGCUGCAAACACGCUACAAUGGCCGGUACAAAGGGCUGCGAUCCCGCGAGGGUGAGCGAAUCCCACAAAGCCGGUCUCAGUUCGGAUUGGAGUCUGCAACUCGACUCCAUGAAGCCGGAGUUGCUAGUAAUCCCGGAUCAGCACGCCGGGGUGAAUACGUUCCCGGGCCUU